UAAAACCAGCACCUCAAGUGGUCAGGAUGAUUAUUGGGCCUAAAGCAUCCGUAGCCGGCUCUGUAAGUUUUCGGUUAAAUCUGUACGCUUAACGUACAGGCUGCUGGGAAUACUGUAGAACUAGGGAGUGGGAGAGGUAGACGGUACUCGGGAGGAAGUGGUAAAAUGCUUUGAUCUCUCGAUGACCACCUGUGGCGAAGGCGGUCUACCAGAACACGUCCGACGGUGAGGGAUGAAAGCUGGGGGAGCAAACCGGAUUAGAUACCCGGGUAGUCCCAGCUGUAAACUAUGCAAACUCAGUGAUGCACUGGCUUAUGGCCAGUGCAGUGUUGCAGGGAAGCCGUUAAGUUUGCCGCCUGGGAAGUACGUACGCAAGUAUG
rnacentral:rRNA from 2 species